CGCGAGCCGAGCGCAACGAAAAAGCCGUUGGACGACGCCGCCGCGUAAUUAAUGUCAGUUUUCGGCCACAAUUUCGCCACUAAGUCGACCAGCAAUGUUCUUAAGUCGGUGAUUGCAGUGAAAUCCGAAUCCUGUCCUGUUCAACCCUCCCAGCAAAGAUGCCGCAAAUCAAAGACCUGUGCCAGAGGCUGACUUUUUGUGUGACAACAAUUCAACUCGAGCAAGCUGUGUCCUGAAACUUUGCGAUCCCCACACACUAUGUAAUGUAAUUAUUGAAAGGAUGUCUGGUUUGCAGCUGAAGUGCAAGAUCAAUACAAGCUAACAGGCUUGUAUACUCUGGCUGCGGCAGAUCAGGCCGACGAUGUCAAGACACGGUCAUGGAUGGGAAGAGCUUCCAGCACGAUGGAUUCCAGCCUGCACUGAACUUAUGCUGCAUUUUCCAGUCUUAAAUCUGCUGGUGCUAUUUAUGACUCGGAUGGAAUCGACGCGACUUCGGAGCUCAAAGACGAAUAGCUUACAUAAUUAUGUGACAGGACUUCUGAUUGCUGGACCACAACUUUGACGAAGAUUGAGUGGUUCAUGUGUAAUUUUGUUUUUAAGUGAGGCUAUUUUUUAGCUAAAUUGUUAUAUUUUAUGUAUAGAGAAUUCAUUUUAAGGCUAAUAGCUAUUGCAUACACAUACCUGUGUUCACUGUAAUGUUGAUAUUAAAAUUAAAUUAAAUUCCAAACAUUAUUUUAGUGAAUACAGGUAUGUGUGCAAUAAAUUUAUGUUGAAGCUGACAUUCAUUCAUUGAAUUUUCUUUGCCAGAAACGUUUAGGCAGCUGGAAAUUUUAAAUUAAAUAUUUUUGAUAGUCAUUAUAGGAUUUAAAUUUGCCAUUUGUGUAAGCCUUCAGUGUUCGAAGUCGGCGUAGCCGUAUAUACUUCCAAUUUAAAUUCCCAUUGACUUAAGUCAAGGAUUUAAUCAUGCUAUUUUAUGGGUUUUAAAUAAUUUAUUUUGAUUCUGAGAACCUAAAUCAGUUCAGCCAAUCUCCGUAGAAACAUGGAAAUAAUAUUUUUAUCAAAUCUGACGUUUCGAAGGGGAUUUGCUAGACUGACUUUUGCUUUUAGUACAUCAAAUCAAAUCAAUUAAAGGGUUUUGAAUGCAGAGCGGUAAGAUCGUGUGUCUUUAUUUUCUCAAUCUUAUUUUCUCAAUUAAAAGAAACAGCUGGCACCAUUUUUCGGGAGCAUUAUUACACUAAGGGGUUUUCGAAGCGUGUGAAUGUUAAAAUUUUUAAGCGUUCUUAAUUAAUUUUCUUGUUUCUCAUAACUUUAUUGACACUACUGUAAAUUGAUAAAAAUUCUCUGUAUUGAUCUAUUGUUACUGUACAUGUAUUGUGUCAUCUUUUUGUAAUCAAAAUUGUAUAAUAAUAAAUAAAUAAAAAAA